rnacentral:rRNA from 1 species
AAAGUAUAGGCGAUAGAAAAGAUGAAUUACUGAGCUAUAGAGAUAGUACCGUAAGGGAAAAAUGAAAGACCAACCUCAUAGUACUUCAAAGCAAAGAUUAAAACUUGUACCUUUUGCAUAAUGAAUUAACUAGAAUUAAUUUGACAAAAAGAAUUAUAGCCAAACACCCCGAAACCAGACGAGCUACUCAAGAACAAUCUUUAAGGAUCAACUCAUCUAUGUAGCAAAAUAGUGAGAAGAUUCUUGAGUAGAGGUGAAAAACCUAACGAGCCUGGUGAUAGCUGGUUAUCCAAUUACUGAAUUUUAGUUCAACUUAAAACCUUACUAAAUAUACACAGCACUAUACCGUAGUUUUUAAACUUAGUUAAAAGGGGUACAGCCCUUUUAACAUUGGAUUCAACCUCAAUUAGAGAGUAAGUAGUACCAACAACAUAGUAGGCCUAAAAGCAGCCACCAAUUAAGAAAGCGUUAAAGCUCAAAUUGAACCCAAAACUAAAAAUCCCACAAACAACAAACCAACUCCUAAUUUAAAAAUUGGAUUAAUCUAUAUAUCAUAUAGAAGAGUUAAUGUUAAUAUUAGUAACAAGAACUAUAAUCUCCUUACACUAGUUUAUAACCUAACGAAUACUCGUUGUUAGUUAACAACCAAAUAACUAAAAUCUGUACUUUUAAUAAUUAUAUACAUACAUAUUGUUAGCCCAACACUGGUGUGUUACACAGGAAAGAUUUAAAAAAGUAAAAGGAACUCGGCAAACUCAAAUCCCGCCUGUUUACCAAAAACAUCACCUUUAGCAUUACAAGUAUUAAAGGCACUGCCUGCCCAGUGAAUAUUUAAACGGCCGCGGUACUCUGACCGUGCAAAGGUAGCAUAAUCAUUUGUCCCCUAAAUAGGGACUUGCAUGAAUGGCCCCACGAGGAUUUAACUGUCUCUUACUUUUAAUCAGUGAAAUUGUCCUUCCCGUGAAGAGACGGGGAUAAACCCAUAAGACGAGAAGACCCUAUGGAGCUUUAGUACGAAUUUCAAAGAAUUAAUAAUUAAACAAACAUUUUAUUCUAAUGAAACACCUACUUUGGUUGGGGUGACCUCGGAAAACAAAAAAACUUCCGAAAGAUUCAUACCAAGACCAACAAGUCAAAGUAUCUAAAUCUCUAUUGACCCAAUUACUUGAUCAACGGACCAAGUUACCCUAGGGAUAACAGCGCAAUCUUAUUCAAGAGUUCUUAUCGACAAUAAGGUUUACGACCUCGAUGUUGGAUCAGGACAUCCUAAUGGUGUAGCAGCUAUUGAUGGUUCGUUUGUUCAACGAUUAAAGUCCUACGUGAUCUGAGUUCAGACCGGAGAAAUCCAGGUCGGUUUCUAUCUAUGAAUUUAUUUCUCCCAGUACGAAAGGACAAGAGAAAUAAGGCCAACUAUUAUAUAGCGCCUUAACAAUACAUAUGAAAUAAUCUUAAU